rnacentral:sRNA from 1 species
GCUGGGCACAGUGGUUUUCGCCUGUAAUCCCAGCAGCUCAGGAGGCUGAGGCAGGAGCAUUGUGAGUUCAAAGCCAGCCUCAGCAAACCAGAGAUACCAGACAACUAAGUGAGACCCUGUCUCUA